AGCGCAGAGACAGGUGGUGCAUGGCUGUCGUCAGCUCGUGUCGUGAGAUGUUGGGUUAAGUCCCGCAACGAGCGCAACCCACGUCGUUAGUUGCCAGCAUUUAGUUGGGCACUCUAGCGAGACCGCCGGUGAUAAACCGGAGGAGGGUGGAUGACGUCAAGUCAUCAUGCCCCUUACAUCCUGGGCUACACACGUACUACAAUGCUACGGACAAAGGGCAGCAAACUCGCGAGAGCUAGCAAAUCCCAUAAACCGUGGCUCAGUUCAGAUCGUAGGCUGCAACUCGCCUACGUGAAGGAGGAAUCGCUAGUAAUCGCAGGUCAGCAUACUGCGGUGAAUACGUUCCCGGGCCUUGUACACACCGCCCGUCACACCAUGAAGUGGCCACG
rnacentral:rRNA from 1 species